ACUCAAAGGAAUUGACGGGGGCCCGCACAAGCGGUGGAGCAUGUGGUUCAAUUCGACGCAACGCGAAGAACCUUACCUGGGCUCGAAAUGCAGUGCACCGGGGUGGAAACACCCCUUCCCGCAAGGGGUGCUGCAUAGGUGCUGCAUGGCUGUCGUCAGCUCGUGUCGUGAGAUGUUGGGUUAAGUCCCGCAACGAGCGCAACCCUUAUUGCCAGUUGCCAUCAGGUUAUGCUGGGAACUCUGGCGAAACUGCCCCGGAUAACGGGGAGGAAGGUGGGGAUGACGUCAAGUCCUCAUGGCCUUUAUGUCCAGGGCCACACACGUGCUACAAUGGUCGGUACAAACCGUCGCAAACCUGCGAAGGGGAGCUAAUCGGAAAAAGCCGGCCUCAGUCCGGAUUGAAGUCUGCAACUCGACUUCAUGAAGCUGGAAUCGCUAGUAAUCGCGGAUCAGAACGCCGCGGUGAAUACGUUCCCGGGCCUUGUACACACCGCCCGU
rnacentral:rRNA from 1 species